rnacentral:rRNA from 1 species
AUGCAACACAUCUUCUCCUUCGGGCUGGCAACUGGGAAGCAUGCCAUGGGCUUGGGGGAGCCUCUUGGUUCUCCCAUGCCUGACUUCCCUGGGACCCUGGAUGUCGAGAUCCUUGAUGGCCCUGACAAGCCCGCUACGAAGUCCUUCGACAAGCCAUUUGACCCCGUUGAUAGGAAGAGGAAGAGAGGAGGCCUGAUGGAGGAGGAGAUCAAUGUCUUCUGCAGCAUGACUGAGGCGGUGAAGGAGGUGGCAACAGCCAUCAGGGAGUGCAAGCCCCUCGACGUCCACCCUGACAUGUAUGGCGCUGUCAUGACCUAG